GGCCACAUGCAGCAUAUACUGCAUUUCACUCCGUGCAUCUAUUUGCAAGACAAUAUGCUCUACUUAUCCACAGAACCUUAACAAACAUUGCAUCGGGGGGAAAAAAGAAAAAAGGAAAAAAAAAAAAACAAUUUGCAGAGGGGUCUGCAUCACAGCAAUGCAAGUGUUGGAGCCCUUUGGCAAGCCAUAGCGGUGAAGGCAGGACCGAGCAUUUGGCAGGAAAAGCCACUAAAUGGCGUCAGCUGCUCCACUCCACUCAGCCCUGGUAAUGCUGAAGGCAUCAGAGCCAUAGCACCGGGAGAGCCUGCAGGCUGCCCACGACCAGCACCAGGCGUCCAUCAGUGCUGCCAGAACAGCCAGGGAGCUCAGCCCAUCGUGUGCUCAGCCCGCGGAGACACAGGCCUCCAGUGAAGAUCACUCAGGAGGAAACGUCUGUGGUCCUCCAAAACCCCUCUCAUUCUGGCUGUCUUCCUGUGGUCCAGGUCCUGGGGCAGAUUCUUCCCCCGAACAGCAUCCACCUCUUCAGAGGGCAGGGGCACGGGCAAAAAUGCCCUCUGGUGCCAGGGCAAGGGCAGGGGUAGGACGAGAGCUCUCCUCAGUUCCUGCACUGCCAAGCCCACCUUAUGCUACAGAAACAGGCUCUGAGAAAACCUGAAUGAAGCAUUUCCUUUCCUGAAUGCCAAAGGCUAAUUGACCAGCAUGAGACCUGCUGAACUUGGUGGAACCAGGGCAGAUAUAAUCACUCAGGAGAGCCAAAAACCAAUUAACUGAAUGGCUUCAGCUGCUUUGAUAUCUGCUUCUUUAUUCAAAAGCAAAAAUAAGAUCAAUUUCUUAAUAUGCUCUGUAAUAUCUGCUAUUCCUUCCCUCUCAUUAUUAUUAUUAGCAUUGCAUCAGUGUUUUGUGCA